GUGGGAGGGGGCUUGCCCCCGAUAGCAGGUUGUCAGGCGCUUAUGUGUUACUGAUCCACCGCUAUCGGGGGCAAGCCCCCUCCCAC
rnacentral:misc_RNA from 1 species